rnacentral:rRNA from 1 species
CCUACGGGAGACAGCAGUGAGGAAUAUUGGUCAAUGGACGAGAGUCUGAACCAGCCAAGUAGCGUGAAGGAUGACUGCCCUAUGGGUUGUAAACUUCUUUUAUACGGGAAUAAAAUGUUUCACGUGUGGGAUUUUGUAUGUACCAUAUGAAUAAGGACCGGCUAACUCCGUGCCAGCAGCCGCGGUAAUACGGAGGGUCCGAGCGUUAUCCGGAUUUAUUGGGUUUAAAGGGAGCGUAGGUAGAUUGUUAAGUUAGUUGUGAAAGUUUGCGGCUCAACCGUAAAAUUGCAGUUGAAACUGGCAGUCUUGAGUACAGUAGAGGUAGGCGGAAUUCGUGGUGUAGCGGUGAAAUGCUUAGAUAUCACGAAGAACUCCGAUUGCGAAGGCAGUUCACUGGACUGCAACUGACACUGAGGCUCGAAAGUGUGGGUAUCAAACAGGAUUAGAUACCCCAGUAGUC